GACGAACCGUACGAACGUUAUUCGGAAUUACUGGGCUUAAAGGGUGCGUAGGCGGCGCGGAAAGUAGGGUGUGAAAUCCCUCGGCUCAACCGAGGAACUGCGCUCUAAGCUACCGUGCUCGAGGGAGAUAGAGGUGAGCGGAACUGAGGGUGGAGCGGUGAAAUGCGUUGAUAUCCUCAGGAACACCGGUGGCGAAAGCGGCUCACUGGAUCUCUUCUGACGCUGAGGCACGAAAGCUAGGGUAGCGAACGGG
rnacentral:rRNA from 1 species